UACGGGGGGAGCAAGCGUUGUUCGGAUUUACUGGGCGUAAAGGGCGCGUAGGCGGCCACCGCAAGUCGACUGUGAAAUCUCCGGGCUUAACUCGGAAAGGUCAGCCGAUACUGCGGGGCUAGAGUGCAGAAGGGGCAACUGGAAUUCUCGGUGUAGCGGUGAAAUGCGUAGAUAUCGAGAGGAACACCUGCGGCGAAGGCGGGUUGCUGGGCCGACACUGACGCUGAUUGUGCGAAAGCUAGGGGAGCGAACGGG
rnacentral:rRNA from 1 species